rnacentral:lncRNA from 1 species
AACGGCAUGAAGAAACGCAAAACUCAGCUCUAUAAAUAUGUGAAUAAAGGAGGCUCUCGAGUCCUCUCUCUCGCCGUCAAUUCGGUUUUUCCGAAAUUCUUCUUCCGCACUUUUCCAUUAUCCUCUUCCACCACCGUAACAAACUCGAACAACUUCUCAAAUCUUCCAAAAACUUCUUCUUCCCUUUCUCUUAUUCCCGCACGACAAUCUCCACCACCUGCAUAAUACCUCCUUAAAUCCUUCCAAGAACUCCUCGUUCUCGCAUCGUCGUCUCCAUCACCAUGUACCAAUCAUGCGUUACCAUAACCAAUCCACCAUAAUUCCUGCAAAUCAAAUCGCAGUGUGUCAGCAGGAGCAACGAAACAAGCCUCCGUGGAUAGAAGCAAAAUCGUCUAUAGCACUAGAAACGGAUAGAAGGAAGAGAAGACGAAGGAAAACGGAGGAGUGAAAGCGUACCAAUUUUCUCAGCCGUCUCCGUCGUUCCCGUCGCAUCUGCCGGUAGGUUGUUUCUCCCCGUUACGAUGAUUAAUUCUGGUGUUGUGGUGUGAGUCGUCACCG